GUCCCUCUGGGAAUAUCCGAUAAAAUUGAAACAAUACAUAGAAAAUCAGCAUGGCCCUCAUCAUAAAGAUGACACGCACAAAUUGAGAAAUGGUCUAAAUUUUU